rnacentral:ncRNA from 1 species
GCAGGUAGAGGCGCGGUAUUCAUGAGUAGUCCGGAGACACAGGCAAACGCUCCCGGCCGAAAGGGUCUGCCGCCGAAGUUUUGCAUCGACGCCUUAAGGUGCAAAGCUGGGCCGUCGGGAAACACCCGCCGGACUGUCACGUCAGUGGAGCGCUAUCGGA